rnacentral:rRNA from 1 species
GACAGAGGCCCCAAGCGUUAGGCGGAAUCACUGGGCUUAAAGCGUGUGUAGGCGGACUUGUAAGUAUCUUGUGAAAUCCCACGGCUCACCCGUGGAACUGCUGGGUAUACUGCGAGUCUUGAGUCGUGCAGGGGCAGCCGGAACAAGCGGUGGAGCGGUGAAAUGCGUAGAUAUUGAGAAGAACACCAGAGGCGAAGGCGGGUUGCUGGGCCGACACUGACGCUGAGGCGCGAAAGCCAGGGGAGCAAACGGG